rnacentral:rRNA from 1 species
CCUACGGGGGGCAGCAGUGAGGAAUAUUGGUCAAUGGGCGUAAGCCUGAACCAGCCAAGUCGCGUGAGGGAUGAAGGUUCUAUGGAUCGUAAACCUCUUUUAUAAGGGAAUAAAGUGCGGGACGUGUCCCGUUUUGUAUGUACCUUAUGAAUAAGGAUCGGCUAACUCCGUGCCAGCAGCCGCGGUAAUACGGAGGAUCCGAGCGUUAUCCGGAUUUAUUGGGUUUAAAGGGUGCGUAGGCGGUCAGGUAAGUUAGAGGUGAAAGCUCGAUGCUCAACAUCGAAACUGCCUCUGAUACUGUCUGACUAGAGUGUAGUUGCGGAAGGCGGAAUGUGUGGUGUAGCGGUGAAAUGCUUAGAUAUCACACAGAACACCGAUUGCGAAGGCAGCUUUCCAAGCUAUUACUGACGCUGAGGCACGAAAGCGUGGGGAGCGAACAGGAUUAGAUACCCGGGUAGUC